rnacentral:lncRNA from 1 species
UGGGAAUGGAUGAAGCGGGACGAGGACGCUGCAGUCUGUUUGCGUUUGCGCUCAAUCUGAGACCCCAUGCAGACGGGUUUGAGUUUUCAAAGACAGCAUGAACAGCUUCUCAUGUCUGCGGAUUCACACGUCUUGCAAUACAUCUAAGCUAUAGUCUCAGGCGUGAAUAAGUGUGGAAUCAUUCUUCAUGAAAUCCUCCGUCAUCUGUCUCAGGGAGUUUUUUUCUUGAGUCCUUGUUCUUUCAGAUUGAUGUGGUCUAUCCUCCCAAUUCCUUGGAUGUUUCCAAUGACCACUCAACAACCGAGAAAAUCUCAUCACAUGCUCACACAUUUUGUUAAGCCAGGGUUUUGUUACCAGAAACUCUAACCUCCACAUGGUAAAUCAUCCCAUCCCGAGUGCCUCUAUAAUAACAUUGUUUCCGUUCUUAGUUCUGUUUUUCCUGUCUCGAGGUUCUCUGGCUAUGGCGAUAAUCUGUGUAUCAUGCGUCUUUUAGGUUUUCAUGGCGAGGUCCUGAACUCACCGACUGUUCUUUUGCAACGCACAUGAAGAUGGACAAGGAUGAGAUGCACUAAGAGGAAAUAAAUUUUCAUCACCCCACAAUACGUAUCCCACGUGGAUAUUACCUUAGUGCGAUGUGCGAGCGCCCCAGAGAAAGCAAGGGCAGCGGAAUUGUUGAAUGAUCAGUGAGUGGGUAUUUGAGUUGUCACCACAUUCCCGGCCUCAAAGAACCAGAGGCGAUGACUGAUCGACAUCGCAAACAGUAUUGAAUAAUUGCCAACAAUGUGGAUCUGCUAGACCUACCAAAUUAAAAAUCAAUAUAGGCAUAAUUCUCUGCUGAAAAACAAGUAAGACUGCGAUAUACUGGAAGAAUGUAAAGAAGUGAUAUCGGUUUCGAAUUUCCGCCCCUCAUG